rnacentral:rRNA from 1 species
AUUGAACGCUGGCGGCAUGCCUUACACAUGCAAGUCGAACGGUAACGGGUCCUUCGGGAUGCCGACGAGCGGCGAACGGGUGAGUAAUAUAUCGGAACGUGCCCAGUAGUGGGGGAUAACUGCUCGAAAGAGCAGCUAAUACCGCAUACGACCUGAGGGUGAAAGGGGGGGAUCGCAAGACCUCUCGCUAUUGGAGCGGCCGAUAUCAGAUUAGCUAGUUGGUGGGGUAAAGGCCUACCAAGGCAACGAUCUGUAGUUGGUCUGAGAGGACGACCAGCCGCACUGGGACUGAGACACGGCCCAGACUCCUACGGGAGGCAGCAGUGGGGAAUUUUGGACAAUGGGCGCAAGCCUGAUCCAGCAAUGCCGCGUGCAGGAAGAAGGCCUUCGGGUUGUAAACUGCUUUUGUCAGGGAAGAAAUCUUCUGGGCUAAUACCCCGGGAGGAUGACGGUACCUGAAGAAUAAGCACCGGCUAACUACGUGCCAGCAGCCGCAGUAA